rnacentral:rRNA from 1 species
CUUAAAUUGAAGAGUUUGAUCAUGGCUCAGAUUGAACGCUGGCGGCAGGCCUAACACAUGCAAGUCGAGCGGAAACGAUUU